AAGCGUGCGCAGGCGGUUUUGUAAGACUGUCGUGAAAUCCCCGGGCUCAACCUGGGAAUGGCGAUGGUGACUGCAAGGCUAGAGUUUGGCAGAGGGGGGGUAGAAUUCCACGUGUAGCAGUGAAAUGCGUAGAUAUGUGGAGGAACACCGAUGGCGAAGGCAGCCCCCUGGGUCAAAACUGACGCUCAUGCACGAAAGCGUGGGGAGCAAACAGGAUUAGAUACCCGAGU
rnacentral:rRNA from 1 species